rnacentral:rRNA from 1 species
AAAGAUUAAGCCAUGCAUGUCUAAGUAUAAGCAAUUAUACCGUGAAACUGCGAAUGGCUCAUUAAAUCAGUUAUCGUUUAUUUGAUAGUACCUUACUACUUGGAUAACCGUGGUAAUUCUAGAGCUAAUACAUGCUGAAAACCCCAACUUCGGAAGGGGUGUAUUUAUUAGGUAAAAAACCAACGCCCUUCGGGGCUUCUUGGUGAUUCAUGAUAACUUUACGGAUCGCAUGGCCUUGCGCCGGCGACGGUUCAUUCAAAUUUCUGCCCUAUCAACUUUCGAUGGUAAGGUAUUGGCCUACCAUGGUUCAACGGGUAACGGGGAAU